rfam:Arabidopsis lyrata subsp. lyrata unplaced genomic scaffold ARALYscaffold_4, whole genome shotgun sequence.
ACAGUAAUCUUCCAAUAGGUCUAGCAUGUGCUGAAACUGUGUGUUGUGUGUACAAUGUUCUCAUAUACACACAGUUUCAGCACAUGCUGGAUCUACUUGAAGACUACUGU